GAAGGGUGUCUGCCCUUUCAACUAGAUGGUAAUCUAUUGGACUACCAUGGUUGUUACGGGUAACGGAGAAUUAGGGUUCGACUCCGGAGAGGGAGCCUUAGAAACGGCUACCACGUCCAAGGAAGGCAGCAGGCGCGAAACUUAUCCACUGUUGAGUAUGAGAUAGUGACUAAAAAUAUAAAGACUCAUCCUUUUGGAUGAGUUAUUUCAAUGAGUUGAAUAUAAAUUAUUCUUCGAGUAGCAAGGAGAGGGCAAGUCUGGUGCCAGCAGCCGCGGUAAUUCCAGCUCUCCUAGUGUAUCUCGUUAUUGCUGCGGUUAAAAAGCUCGUAGUUGGAUCUAGGUUACGUGCCGCAGUUCGCAAUUUGCGUUAACUGUGGUCGUGACUUCUAAUUUGCUGGUUUGAGGUUGGGUUCGCCCUUCAACUGCCAGCAGGUUUACCUUGAAUAAAUCAGAGUGCUCAAUACAGGCGCUUGUUUGAAUAGCUCAUCAUGGAAUAAUGAAACAGGACUUCGGUUCUUUUUGUUGGUUCUAGAAUUGAUCUAAUGGUUAAGAGGGACAAACCGGGGGCAUUCGUAUCAUUACGCGAGAGGUGAAAUUCGUGGACCGUAGUGAGACGCCCAAUAGCGAAAGCAUUUGCCAAGAAUGUCUUCAUUAAUCAAGAACGAAAGUCAGAGGUUCGAAGGCGAUUAGAUACCGCCCUAGUUCUGACCGUAAACGAUGCCAUCUCGCGAUUCGGAGGGUUCAUGCCCUACCGAGGAGCUACCCGGAAACGAAAGUCUUUCGGUUCCGGGGGUAGUAUGGUUGCAAAGCUGAAACUUAAAGAAAUUGACGGAAGGGCACCACAAGGCGUGGAGCUUGCGGCUUAAUUUGACUCAAACACGGGAAAACUCACCCGGUCCGGACACUAUUAGGACUGACAGAUUGAAAAGCUCUUUCUCGAUUUGGUGGUUGGUGGUGCAUGGCCCGUUCUUAGUUGGUGGAGUGAUUUGUCUGGGUUUAUUUCCGAUAACGAGCGAGACUCUAGCCUGCUAAAUAGUCGACGAAU
rnacentral:ncRNA from 1 species